rnacentral:rRNA from 1 species
GGACUACUGGGGUUUCUAAUCCUGUUUGCUCCCCACGCUUUCGCGUCUCAGCGUCAGUACCGUCCCAGCGAGCUGCCUUCGCCAUUGGUGUUCUUCCUGAUAUCUGCGCAUUUCACCGCUACACCAGGAGUUCCACUCGCCUCUUCCGGACUCUAGCUUGACAGUUUCCACUGGCAUUCCAGGGUUGAGCCCUGGACUUUCACAGCGGACUUACCAAGCCGCCUACACGCUCUUUACGCCCAAUGAUUCCGGACAACGCUAGCCCCCUACGUAUUACCGCGGCUGCUGGCAC